rnacentral:lncRNA from 1 species
CGACGCUCCGCCUCGCCCCGCCCACAACCGCCGUCCUGCGCUUCUAUUGGUCAAUUCACUGAAGGGGGCGUGGCAUAAAGGGAACGUCACGGAAGCUGAGCUAUCUGAUUGGUGGCGGUGGCGGCGGGCGGCCCCGCCCCCGCGGUCCCACGCGCGGCCGGGCCCGCCCGGUGGGUACAUUGUGCGCGGGGCCGGGGCCGCGCCGGGGCUCCUGCAUCCCUGCAUCCCUCCAUCCCUCCCUGCAUCCAUCCCUGCAUCCCUCCAUCCCUGCAUCCCUGACACCUGGCGCUGGGGGCUUCGCGGCUCACGGAGAUUUCGGCUCGGCCAGGUGACGGACAGAUCCAGAGCCACGAGAAAAAAACAAGCAACUCCAUAACCUUUAUACUUUGACAACUUCCCUUGUUUUUGCUUCUUCCUUCCUGCAUCUUGUGACACUUGUUUUUAUUGAAGUUACCUUAGGAGCAACCCGAGAUGUGUAACACAGCCCAUGUGUUCUGGUGGUGGCCAGCUGCUGCUGCUGGCUCAGCUGCUCUGGUGACAGUCUCCGUCCAGAGUUCUGAGCUCUUCUCGACUUUCUUGUCUCUGCCCCUGAGCUCUCCUGUAUGUUCUGCUCUGUCCAUCUCUCCAAGAGCCUGAAUCCUUAAUGCUAUAGGACCCUUUCUGGGGCCUCUCUGUUUUCCUGGUCCUGUUUUCUGCUGCAAAUCAAAUCUUAUCUGAAAACAUAUUUUGUCUCUUUUGUGUCUUUAACCCCAGCCAUCUGCUCUGGCUUAUCUUUGCGAUAAGCCCAAGUAAAGCACUUGGGGAGGAGGCAUAGGUGGAAGUCUGCUCUGCAACAGGAAGUGUGAGGUGGCACGAGCUUCUCAGAAUUAAAGCAGAGUGAAAAUUGCUGCAGAAUUGCACCUUAUUGUGGACAUGGGAGACUGUAAACAGCUUCAGCACCGAAGAACUUAAAUUUCCCAUUCCUUUCUUGUUGAUUUUCCCAAAUAUUUGAGGAUUGUUAUCUGAAGUCCUCCUGUCUCAGCAUGUGUGCAGAGUGUGGUAUCAUGCUGUGCUUGGGGCAGGCUCAAGUAAUUCAAGCAGAGGGGUUGGCGUCUCAGAUGUGCUUUUGCAGAGGAGUUAAGGCCAGUUGAAAAUGGUUUGACUGAAGGACCAAGGCAAAAGGAAUUUGUGAAAGUGACAGCUUUGGGACAGAUGACAAGAUAUUGCACAGCA